ACCUACUUUGCUAUGCCGCUUGGCCACUAUGCCAAAAUUGCAUAAUUGCCAUGGGAUGGUUUAUAUUGAUAUACAUAAUUUGUAAUUUUUUUUUUAAUCACAAAAAUAGUUAUCUUC